rnacentral:rRNA from 1 species
AUUGAACGCUGGCGGCAUGCCUUACACAUGCAAGUCGAACGGUAACAGGUCUUCGGAUGCUGACGAGUGGCGAACGGGUGAGUAAUACAUCGGAACGUGCCCGAUCGUGGGGGAUAACGCAGCGAAAGCUGUGCUAAUACCGCAUACGAUCUACGGAUGAAAGCGGGGGAUCGCAAGACCUCGCGCGGACGGAGCGGCCGAUGGCAGAUUAGGUAGUUGGUGGGAUAAAAGCUUACCAAGCCGACGAUCUGUAGCUGGUCUGAGAGGACGACCAGCCACACUGGGACUGAGACACGGCCCAGACUCCUACGGGAGGCAGCAGUGGGGAAUUUUGGACAAUGGGGGAAACCCUGAUCCAGCCAUGCCGCGUGCAGGAUGAAGGCCUUCGGGUUGUAAACUGCUUUUGUACGGAACGAAAAGGUCCUUUUUAAUAAAGAGGGCUCAUGACGGUAC